CGACGAUUUUAUAAUACUCCUAUUUCCGAUUUUGCCCAAUUUUCUUUCUGCGGCGGCGCCAAUCGCUGUUUUUGAGUUUCUUCCGCCAUUAAUCCUCUCCCACUCAUACCUCAAAACCUAAUUGCAUAAUCGCACUACCUCACCGCCACCACUUCUCCUUCUCAUCUCCUCUGAUUUAUUUGGAAUACCUAGAUUAUCCCCUUUGCAGAUCUCAUUUUCUUUUCUUUUCUUUUUUUCUUUAAAAAAAAAUUCUAUAGCUGAAGAGUGUAAACCCCGUGGGUUCAGCUGCCCAUCUUUGCCAGUUCUGCAAGUUUUCACCAGAUUAGAAAAUGCUGGGUUCAUUGCCUAUAUUGCCCCUACCGGCACCCCCCGAGGACGGAAAUCUCGGCCCAUUACCGGCUUCUCAAGUAACUGAGGAUUCUGAUGAUGAGAAAAAUUUGGAGAAUGAAGACCAGAAGAUGGCCAUUGAUAAACCCAGCUCAGCUCCACUGUCAGUAGCAACACACACGAGGUCGAUAGGAGUUAUACACCCACCUAUAGACAUUAGAACUAUAGUGGACAAAACUGCUCAGUUUGUGGCAAAAAAUGGACCAGAGUUUGAGAAAAGAAUUAUCGCAAACAAUGAAGGGAAUGCAAAAUUUAACUUUUUACGAGCCUCUGAUCCUUACCAUGCUUAUUAUCAGCACCGCCUAGCUGAAUCUCGAGCACAGAAUCAGGCAUCUGCUACACAGCCUCCUCAGUCGGAGCCUGCUCCUGAAUCAGUUAGUAGUACUCCAGCGGCUGAUGCAAAUGAUGCCUCAGCCAAGCCUGACCCUGCGGCUCAAUUCCGAACUGUACGUAAGGUUCUUGAUCCACCGGAGGCAGAGCAAUAUACUGUUCGGCUCCCUGAAGGGAUUACCGGGGAGGAAUUGGAUAUAAUCAAGCUCACUGCUCAGUUUGUGGCAAGAAAUGGGAAGUCUUUUUUGACUGGUUUGACUAGCAGAGAGAGCACCAAUCCUCAGUUUCAUUUCUUAAGGCCAACACAUAGUAUGUUUAUGUUCUUUACAUCUCUUGCUGAUGCUUAUUCAAAAGUAUUGAUGCCUCCCAAAGGGCAGUCUGAUAAGCUAAAAAUUAGCGUCCUUGAUAUGACUACUGUCCUGGAACGCUGCUUAAAUCGCCUUGAAUGGGAAGGAUCGCAAGAGCAGGCUAGGCAAAAAGCUGAAGAUGAGAUAGAGCAGGAGCGGCUGCAGAUGGCAAUGAUUGAUUGGCACGAUUUUGUAGUGGUUGAGUCAAUAGACUUUGUUGAUGACGAGGAUGAGGACUUACCUCCUCCAAUGAUUCUUGAGGAAGUCAUAAGAAGAAGCAAGAUGUCAGCUAUGGAGGAAGAAGAUUUCAUUGAGCCUAGCAAGGAGGUAGAAAUGGAAAUGGAUGAAGAAGAGGUCCAACUGGUUGAGGAGGGCAUGAGGGUGGCAAGUCUGCAGGAGAAUGGCGAUGCCAAGAGUAAUGAGGGCAAGGUAUAUUUAGAAGAGAACGAACCACCCAUGAGAAUUGUGAAAAAUUGGAAGAGACCUGAAGAUAGAAUACCAGCUGAAAGGGAUCCUACUAAAUAUGUUGUCUCUCCAAUAACUGGCGAGCUUAUCCCUAUAAGUGAAAUGUCCGAACACAUGAGAAUUUCUCUUAUUGAUCCCAAGUUUAAGGAACAGAAGGAUAGGAUGUUUGCUAAGAUAAGAGAGACCACCCUUGCGCCAGACGAUGAAAUAUCCAGGAAUAUUGUAGGACUUGCAAGAACCCGGCCUGAUAUUUUUGGUACAACAGAAGAAGAAGUUUCUAAUGCUGUGAAGGCUGAAAUUGAAAAGAAGGAUGAGCAACCAAAACAGGUCAUAUGGGAUGGUCACACUGGAAGCAUUGGCCGAACGGCCAGCCAGGCCAUGUCUCAGAAUACUGGUAUUGAUGACAUGAGUGAUGGUUCAAACAAUGAGGGCUGGAGCCUUCUGGGUCCAGCACCUCCUCCUCCUAGGCCCGGUAUGCCAUCAAUUAGGCCGCUACCUCCACCUCCUGGUCUUGCCUUAAAUAUUCCCAGGCCUCCCACAAUGGUUCAAUAUCCAAACCCAACUGGCAUUGGUAGUGUUGCACCACCACCACCUGGGCCCCCUGUUGUCAAUGUAAUUCCUUCUAUUCGCCCUCCACCUCCUUCAGUGCCUAUGAUGCACGGACAAAAUCUUAUGGGCAACCGCCCUCCAAUGCCGCCAUCUAUGCCCAUAAAUUCUAAUAUCCCUGUUCCACCACCACCUGGAUCACAGUUUACACCUUUGGGAGGUCAUAGGUUCCAACCAGGCAUGCCUAUGGUUCCUCCACCACCCAUGCCCCUUGGCAUGCCUCCACCACCACCACCUGAAGAGGCCCCUCCACCCCUUCCUGAAGAACCAGAGCCCAAGAGGCAAAGGCUUGAUGACUCUUUCCUCAUUCCGGAAGAACAGUUCCUGGCAAAACAUCCGGGUACGGCUCGUAUUAGUAUAUCAGUGCCUAACACUGAUGAAGGAAACCUGAAAGGACAAGUGUUGGAGAUUGCUGUGCAAUCCUUGACUGAAACAGUUGCAAGCUUGAAAGAGAAAAUUGCUGGCGAGAUCCAGCUUCCUGCAAAUAAACAGAAGCUUAGUGGGAAGGCAGGGUUUCUCAAGGACAAUUUAUCUCUUGCUUAUUACAAUGUUGGACCUGGAGAGGCACUAUCACUUUCUCUUAGAGAACGUGGUGGUAGGAAGAGAUGAACUACAUCACAAUGUAGAUCUUGUGAGACUCUCAUGUUAAAGCUUCUGGCGUUUCCAUAAUGAUGGUCUUAUUAUGAAGUUCUGAGACAUUUUUGUUGUGUCUUUGUUGAUUUUAGGGAUCUUGAUGGUUGUGUACUUGUUAAUCUUCGAAACUUUAAGCUAGUGCUUCUUGUUGCACUCCUGGUAUUAACUUAGGGUUCGGCCCAGUGCCCUGCAACGCGUGUUGUGUCCGUGGCCGGACUGCAAUCCAGGCCAUGUCUCAUACUGCUCAAGGGGUCCAAGUCCAGCUUGGGCCAGACCUGUCCUGCUGCAAUGCAUCCGAGCCUGACCUCACAGCAAGAUUUGUAGUCCGGCCCCACAUUUGUGUCCCAUGCAUUGUUGAUACCCUUAUGACCAAUUCAAAGUUCUAUUGCCAGAAUUUGAUCUUAUAGCCAUAGGUGUUUUUAUUUCUGAAAUAAUUCUUAGAUUAGGACUUAGUAGGCCCCAAGUCAAUUCCGUGUGGCUUAGGUUGAAGCCACAUAUCAGUUCUAGUAUCAUUUUCUUUAAGUCCAAAUCACAUGGUAAAAAAUUAUUUUAUGCGUUUGGUACAGUGUGUUUAUUUUUAACAAUUAACAAGUACUCUAGUAGCAGUAGUAGUUUUUUUUACAUCUACUCUUCCUAAUAUAUAGAUCUAUAUUAUAAAGAUUUAAUUUUUA